UCACGUCAACUCCUAUUAUAAUGCAGUGUGUACAGUUAAAAUGUUGCAUAAACAAAAAUAAUUAGAAAUUUCCUCAUAGUUGAAUUUAAAAAAAAUAACGCAAAUUUCGACUAUAAAAAGGAUAACUUUGAAAGAUUCGUUCAUCAGUAGAAGUUCUGUAAUUCUUAGAAAACACAACAACAAUGAAAUUGUCCUUUGCUUUUUUGUUUGCUUUCAUUGUUAUCUUUGCUGUGAUUGGCGGCCAAGUUUCAGCUGCUCCACAACCUAAAAGUCUUAAAAAAUUCGUAAGUACAUAUUUUAUAAAAACCUUAUGUUAAAAGCUCCCGCUUAUCGUCUCAAUUCCAUUGCAAAUAUUUAGUUGAAGAAAACUUUCGGUAAAAUGAAGGAAGUUGCAGCUCCAAUUGCUGGCCAAGUAGCUAACGACGCAGUUACUAAUCUAAUUUCUGGUUAAACUUUUUGGCAAUGUUAAUAAAUUAAUGAAUUUGGUUAUCUGAGUGAAA